rnacentral:rRNA from 1 species
AACGAACGCUGGCGGCAGGCCUAACACAUGCAAGUCGAGCGAGACCUUCGGGUCUAGCGGCGGACGGGUGAGUAACGCGUGGGAACGUGCCCUUUGGUUCGGAAUAGCCCCGGGAAACUGGGAGUAAUACCGGAUAAGCCCUACGGGGGAAAGAUUUAUCGCCAAAGGAUCGGCCCGCGUUGGAUUAGGUAGUUGGUGGGGUAAUGGCCUACCAAGCCGACGAUCCAUAGCUGGUUUGAGAGGAUGAUCAGCCACACUGGGACUGAGACACGGCCCAGACUCCUACGGGAGGCAGCAGUGGGGAACCUUAGACAAUGGGGGAAACCCUGAUCUAGCCAUGCCGCGUGAGCGAUGAAGGCCUUAGGGUUGUAAAGCUCUUUCAGUGGGGAAGAUAAUGACUGUACCCACAGAAGAAGCCCCGGCUAACUCCGUGCCAGCCGCCGCCGUAAGAC